UCCCUGGAGUCUCAGAUAAAGAAUCUGCCUGCAAUGCAGAAGACCCAGGUUCAAUCCCUGGGUUGGGAA
rnacentral:tRNA from 1 species